rnacentral:rRNA from 1 species
GUCCACACAGUAAACGAUGAAUACUCGCUGUUUGCGAUAUACAGUAAGCGGCCAAGCGAAGCAUUAAGUAUUCCACCUGGGAGUACGCCGGCAACGGUGAAACUCAAAGGAAUUGACGGGGCCCGCACAAGCGGAGGAACAUGUGGUUUAAUUCGAUGAUACGCGAGGAACCUUACCCGGGCCUGAAUUGCAGAGGAACAUAGUUGAAAGAUUAUGGCCGCAAGGUCUCUGUGAAGGUGCUGCAUGGUUGUCGU